UGAGUACGAGAUGCUACGGCAUCGAAGCAGUCUAUGUCAUACUUCCAAGAAAAGCUUGCACUGUCAUAAACAAAGAAUGCCUGUACCAUAACCGACACAGGUGGGUAGGUAGAGUAUACUAAGGGGCGCGAGAUAACUCUCUCUAAGAAACUCGGCAAAAUGACUCCGUAACUUCGGGAGAAGGAGUGCCUUAUUUCUAAGGUUGCAAUAACAAGAUCCAAGCAACUGUUUACCAAAAACACAGGUCUCCGCUAAGUCGUAAGACGAUGUAUGGGGGCUGACGCCUGCCCAGUGCCAGAAGGUUAAAGAAGUUGGUUAGCAUUAGCGAAGCUGAUAACUGAAGCCCUGGUGAACGGCGGCCGUAACUAUAACGGUCCUAAGGUAGCGAAAUUCCUUGUCGGGUAAGUUCCGACCCGCACGAAAGGCGUAAUGAUUUGGAUACUGUCUCGGAGAGGGGCUCGGUGAAAUAGACUUGUCUGUGAAGAUGCGGACUACCUGCACCUGGACAGAAAGACCCUAUGAAGCUUUACUGUAACUUGAGAUUGAAAUUGGACUUUAUUUGCGCAGUAUAGGUGGGAGGCGUUGAGAAUAAUCUUGCGGGAUUGUUGGAGCCAUCAGUGAGAUACCACUCUUGUAAUGUUAGAUUUCUAACUUUGUAUCAUUAUCUGGUCAAAGAACAGUUUCAGGCGGGCAGUUUGACUGGGGCGGUCGCCUCCCAAAGGGUAACGGAGGCGCACAAAGGUUUCCUCUGAACGGGUAGAAAUCGUAUCUAGAGUGUAAAGGCAUAAGGAAGCUUGACUGUGAGACCUACAAGUCGAGCAGGGACGAAAGUCGGUCUUAGUGAUCUGACGGUGCUGAGUGGAAAGGCCGUCACUCAACGGAUAAAAGUUACUCUAAGGAUAACAGGCUGAUCUCCCCCAAGAGUUCACAUCGACGGGGAGGUUUGGCACCUCGAUGUCGGCUCAUCGCAUCCUGGGGCGGUAGUCCGUCCCAAGGGUUGGGCUGUUCGCCCAUGAAAGCGGUACGCGAGCUGGGUUCAGAACGUCGUGAGACAGUUCGGUCCAUAUCCGGUGUAGGCGUUAGAAUAUUGAGAGGAGCCUUCUCUAGUACGAGAGGACCGAGAAGGACAUACCUCUGGUGUACCAGUUAUCGUGCCAACGGUAAACGCUGGGUAGCUAUGUAUGGAGUGGAUAACCGCUGAAAGCAUCUAAGUGGGAAGCCCACCUCAAGAUAAG
rnacentral:rRNA from 1 species